rnacentral:lncRNA from 1 species
GUAAAUUAUCAUAGAUUGAUGGAGUGUGUGUGGCUAACCGACAUAUUAAUUUGAUGAUAAAUGACAUCGAGAGUACCAAACUAAUUUGCAUGGUUAUUCACAUCUUGUUUGUGAUCCUUGGUAUCCCAAUAAAAAAUAGAAGAGCAAAAUCGAGAUUAAACAUGCCAUUGAAUAGUUCAAUGAAUAUCAAAAGAUAUAAGAAUUGUUGGGUUUUGAGCAUUCUAACACUCCUAUGGUGUACAUGCAACCCUAUAAACCUUGGAUCUAUGUUUUCUCUAUAAUACAUGCAAAUAAGAACUUUCCAAGGUUUUAAUCCUAACUAGCAUAUUAUGAAGUUCUUAUACUACAAAGUACUAGUUAGAUGACAUACCUUUUGAUGUAGCUUGAUGUCUUCAAGCUUUAAGAGCUUAGCCCCAAUAGUGUGGAAGCGUCAAAUGGAAUCACAAAUCACCAAAACACCUUAGAAGACUUUAGAGAAUAUGGAUACUUGGUUCUCUCUAGUGAAAUUGGCUAGCCCUUCUUAGUGUACCACACUAGUGCCCAAUUUCACCAACCAAGGACAUCUUUAUAUAGUGUGGAGGAUUAGGGUUAAACCCUAAUACCCAUGACCUUUCAUUUCCUAGGAUCCAUGGGUUAAACACUCCAUGGACUAUCCAUGAAAGCUUAGCCCAACCUAAAUGAACUUGGCCCAUUCCAUAUAUAUAAGAGUCCAUAUUUAAUUAGUUCCUUUUGAUCACUUAAUUAAUUAUAAAUUAAUUCUUGAUCAAUACUAAUUAAAUAAUAUGAUUCCAUAUUAAUAUAUUAGAACUUAUAAUAUAUUAAUAUUAAUCAUAAACAUACUAUUCUCAAAAGAUUAUCCAUAUAAAUUGUGUCGGUGAAGUGCAACCCAAAUGGACCAUGCCGGGUCGGGUCAAGUACAUACCAAAUAUAGUUAUGGACUUAGACAUUAAUCCAACAGUCUCCCACUUGGAUAAGUCUAAAACUAUUAUUGCGUAUGACUUCAAACCUAACUGGCAAUCGUAGCUCUUAAAGCCGCUGUCGAACUCUGAUCUUGUCAACGAACUUGUCCAUUAGAUAAGGGAUCAUAUAUUCCUCCAUUCUAGAUAUCAUAUGGACUGAGACAUGGAUUAUAAUCAUUCUCUCUGUCCAUUUGUUGUUUCCCGAUUUCCGAUUUAUGACGACUGACUAAUUGAACAAAUCAAAUCAGUCCUGGCCCGGCCGAGCACUUCCAUUUGUCAUCAUCAAAUCAUCGAGGGGCCCACAGAUAUCGCUUUUAUCCCGAAGGUAAAAGGAAUGGAUAAACUUCGACUCAUAUGGCUUGUUCUACUACUUGUUGAAUCAUACACAAAGGCACGUUUUAUAGCACCGAGUUACCAAAUGCGUUUUCGUGCAAUCAAUGUACAACCAACUCAUAGUAACAACUCAUAUCUCUAGGUUUGAAGAAUAUAAGAUAUUAUCGUCUCAUGAUCACUCGUGAUAAAAUCCAUGAAGUGAUUCCAAUGAGCGCGGGUUGAAUCCAAUACUCAGAACUUAUGAGCACUCAUGAGUGUUGUAGCCCUUUGUCCAACACCUUAGACCUCUACAAGCCAACCCAUGACAGUCUUAAUUCAUAUCUACUUCCAACAUAUGACCGACUGUGGAUGGUUUGAAUAACUUAGUCAUUCCGGAAGAAUAACCUAGUUUAUUCGGGAAGUCAAAACAUGCAAAGUGAAACACAAUAAUAAUUGAAUCCAAUAUGGUAUCAACCCUUUGAACAUAAAUAAAACACCUUUUAUUUAUCACCAUAUGAUUACACAUUAUUCAUUGUAUACUGUUUCAGCUAUCAACUUUAUUCUUGAAUUUAAAACAAUAGUUGUCCCAUGCUCCAAGCAUGUACACUAUGUUUUCUUAAACACUAGUCAUGCCACACACCAAGUAUGCAUACUAUGUUUGUCUAUGAUCUUUACUUUGUGAACUAGAUCAAUUGAACAUAACUUCAAUGAUUCUCUUUUCACACUCCCAAAUCCUUACUGCAAAUGCAAGAAUUCCAAAUUCAUGCCAUUUACUGAAAUCUGUUAGAUUCUAAACUUAUAUGCAUUGAUCCUCUUGUAAUGAUUAUGCACAAAGUCACAAAGACUUGGCAACAAUCAUUACAGAGUAUUCCAAAGGAGAUCAACUCCUUGGAAAUAUCCUUCUUGCAUUAAGUUUCCUUAAUCUUACACAGAUUGAAAAUUCUAACUUUGAAACAUUUCCAGAUUCCAUUUUGACUAUCACUUCUGAACAAGAGUUGCCUCCUUACAGAUUAUGUCAAUAUGGUCCUUCCAGAAUUAUCACUAUACUUCCAAUUGUCCUUGAGUAACCAAUCUUUGGUAAACCUUAGAUUGUCCUCGACAAUUGUUUAAUCCUUUUAGUCAUAUCCAGUUCUAAACCUUUUCCCUUCUUAAUGCCCCAGGCAUUUGGAAAAUUUUAGAACGGAUGAAUAUAGCACAUGUAAUCGAUCCUAUAUCCGAAGCAUAUGGGACACGAUUCAUGAUGUCUUACAUAAAGACUAAACCAGUCUUUUGCUAUAAUAUUUCCAUUUCAAUUUGCCAAGUUCUCAUAAUUCAGAUUAUGAAAAGGGAUGCCGUAAUCAUAAUCGAAUUUUAGAACGCAAAUAAUGGACCCAUAUACAGAAUUUCCUUAUGUUGAGCCAUUCCAACAUGAAAUUCAUAUAUAUCCUUGACUAAAUGAUUAAAACCUCACGAUCUAAGCUUAUAGAUUUGAGAUGAAGCAUAAUUUCCUCUCCCUUAAUUAUAGCAAAACAACUUUUUCCCAAUUGAAACUUUUGUUUUCUAUAAUUAACAUUGCUAACUUGCAAUACUUAUCAUAAUUAUCAUGCUCCCACUAACAUGAUGAUUAUUAGCAUAACACUUAUGCUCCCACUAGCUUUGACAUGUACUCAGAAAUCAGCUGGACAGUCUGAAAUUUAGAUUCAUACACCCUUUCCGUAGAUAGCUCACCUGUGUGUCUAAGCAAUUUCAAGAACCAUGAAAAGGGAUACCGUAAUCAUGGUCUCAAUUGCUUAGGCAUUUGCCAUUUCUCACAAGUCCAUGUUAGUGUGCCGGUUAACCACACGCGCUCCACUAACGACUUUUGAAAAUGCAAAUAACACAAUUGAUAUCUUCGUAAAAUCUACUUAGUGAAAGCGUUUCCUCACCAUCAUUUUCAUGAAUCGGAGAGAAACCUUAUGACACUUAGAUUUAUAUGGUGUAUGAGUUCCUACCCAUAUGAAUUUGUCAAACCAUAAUCACAAGACAAAGAUAAUGACAAAUCCAAAACCAUAUGGAUUGAACUCAAUCUUAACUUCUUGCCACCUGGCAGCUCAAGGGCCUGCCAUUGCUUCCAAGUUGUUAUGCAACAAACUGAGAACUCUAAGAACUCAUAUGCAAAGCCAACUUUAACUGGAAUGGGCACAGAUAUGUCAACACGAUAGGUUAUAAACCUCAAGUCGUGUGCUAGUGAAGAACUUCAGGUUUUAUUCUUGAUUAUUUCUUGAGACUUUCAAGACCUUUAAGACUCCCACUGUCCUCUUGACAUAUAAGACUCCCUUGUCAAACAUCCAAGAGAUAGUGCGGAUUCUAAUCAAGAAAAACACUUUACCCAAUUGGCCUAAGUUGGUCUUUGUUUUAUCCAAAACAUCACAACUUACCAAUUUCAAAUGUACAAGAGUAGAAAACUUUUACUCUUACAUUUGACAAGUGUUUUAAACCUUCUUUAAGACAUGUCACUCAAAUGACAAUCUUGGAGUAUGACUCUAAGACUUGUAUUGGAACGAAGUAUGACUCAUCUUCUUGAUUUAACCAUUUCAACAAUUCAAGUUCCUCUUCUUAGUCAUAAGAAUGCACUAAGAUUUCCUUAGAGAACUAAUUGUGAUAUGGUUUCUUAAUCAUUAAGAUGAUCACAAAACUGAUACUAAAGUACUCUCCCAUCUUUUCAGAUUUGAGAAACUUUUAUCCUUCUGCCUAAUUUGAUUCUUCUUAUCGAUCUUUAGUGGUGGACUUAAUCAGUGCACAAGAAUGUGUACUCGAUCCCUUAGUCCUUUACUUGACUCACACAUCCAUGUGAACAAGUAAUUAGUCUUAAUUUUCCAAAACUUGAAAGUUCUCAUUCAUCAUGCUAUACAACUUGCAUGAUUCCAAGUUCCGGUCCAAUUGAAACUUGGGUGAUGAGAAUCUUUCCUUAUUUGGUAAAUCUAGACAUUACCACAAAUGAAAGAAUCAAUUUCAUAUUUCCACUCUUGCUCUUAAUGGAAUCAUAUAAGCAACAAUUUUUCCUCAAAAGCCAUUGUAAGGAUAUUUUAAAAUAAAUAAAAUCAAAAAAAUUUUCUUUUAUUUUAAAACUUUGCGGAAAAACUUAUCCUUACAAUCCAUAUGAAAACUUGUUGUUAUCUAUUCCUAAGCAAUAUCUCAUAACUCCUAAGAAGUAGCUCAAGAAUCCGAUCUUCAAACUAUGCGAUAGAAAUCCAUCUACGCCAUCAGAUUCAGCAUAUUCUUUCUUUAAGUUUCUUCACUUUUCUUUGAUUCUUAAAACAUCACCAUGUGACCCAGUCACAUCAUGUAUCAAGAAUCUCAGAAUAGAAACUUAACAGAGUUAGAUAGUGGACUUUACCUGAAGUAGAGUCAAACUUAUUGACUUUAACAUCCUUAGGUAAAUUUGGCAGCUUCGCAACCAAUGCCCCUUCCUUUGGCAAUAUAAACAUAUGGACCCUUUGAUAAUGGUACACGGGACUAUCACAGACUUAGCUUUUCUCUUUACCAUUUGGUCAACCGAGUUGACUAUGGCCGAUCCCUUUCCAUUGGGAAGAGAAUGCUUUACUGGAUAUCCAAUGUCAUCAUUGUCAAUGUCCAUAAAGUUUUAGGAAGUUGAUCUUAGCAAAUAGAUAAGAUCAUUAAGGGUCUUGUCAUAGUCUGUUUCAUAGGUGUCCCAAAGGAACUCACUAUGUGACUUAGAAAGUGAUUGAACCACCAACUUUCUCAAGACUUUGACACCCAACUCUCCCGGCUUGUCAAUAUGUGACUACAUCUCCAAGAUGUGACCACACCUAGACCUUGCCUUGCCAAUAGGGCCUGAGUGACCUUAAACUUUUCAAGAACUUGUGGGUUAGGGAGAAUAAUUUGAAGAGGUGAAGAAGUAUGAUAUCCAUGGGACAUCAUCUUCAUUAGGAAACCUUGUUUCAAGAGAUUUGGGAAGAUCAUAGGUGUCUAAACCAGACAUCUUUUGGGAGAUAUUCAAGAUAGUUGAUUUAAAGUCCUUAAUAUGACACCCAAUAUGAAAUAUUAAGGCUAGGACCCAACAAACUAUUUUAUAACUUAGAAGAGGUAUGCCGUAAUCCAAGCUAUAAAAUAUUUGAAGGUAGGUGAAUGACGAUUCACCAAUUUCCACCAAGAUAAACGAAAUGUAUUAUUAGGUUUUAAUUGGUUUUGAAACUCCUAGAUCUUUGAGAUUCAUUGAACUUUUCAAAGGCAUGUUUCAAUCUCGAGUGUGCCCUUCAGGUUUUGUGACUGGGAUGCCGAGGAUCACAAAACAAGGUGUGAAGUAACCAUGCAAAUCACUUGGUACCCUUAAUAAAUUACCCCUCAAUCGAUGUGCCGGUUAACCACACACGCUCCAUCGAUACUAUGAUAAACAUUAAGUUACCUUUUACCUACCUUGUUCAAUACGAGUUAGUGUGCCGGUUAACCACACACGCUCCACUAACCGACUUAAACAAAGUGCAAAGUGUAAUUUCAUGGAUUAGCACCUUAUUCACAUUUUCCUAAGUAACUAAGAUUGGGUAUUAUUAAGAGUUUAGUUACUUAGUAUUUUCAUUAAUACUUUUAAUGAAGGGAGAAUUCUAGUCCUGUCAAACCCGUUCGGCUAACGACCCUCCACCAGUCAAGCAAGCGGUGGGUGAGAGUGGACACCCAUUAAGUUGCCAUUUUAUAGGCAACAACCUUAUACCCACCUUAUAGACCGGCUUCGUGAAUGAGGCGUACUAGCGGUAAGACUGACUUUACUCUUAUACAUAUAUAUAUUAUUAACUUAUAAUAUUAUAAAGUAUAAGGGUUGAAUUUUAACUUUUAAAAUUCUAAGGGCUAACUUGGAAUUAAAGUAUUCAUAAGUGAAAACUUUACAAAUUCCAAAACUUGAGGGCAAGUUUUGAAACUAUUCAAAACUAAUUAAUUCCAUAACUUAUGUGUUUAAAGUAGUUUUAAUCCAAAAACUCUUCAAGUUCCAUAACUUGAGGACAAGUUAUGGAAGACUUUAAACUAAUAAAAGAAUUAACUUUUCUUUAUUUUAUAACUUAUGGAAUUAAUUAAGGUUACACCUUUUUUUAUUUUAUUUUAUUUUAUUAAAUGAAGAGACUCUUGGUCCUCCAUAACUUGAGGACAAGUUAUGGAGUCAUAAAACCAUUUAAUUAGAACUAGACUCUUCAUUUUUGUAACCUUUGCCAAUUUUUAUGAGUUUUAUGAUUCUUAAAUGUGACUUUUCAUAUAACUUGAGGACAAGUUACAAAAACACAUUUUAGAAUCAAUUCUUAGAUUAAUUUGGAUUAAAACCAACUAUCACAUAAUUUUAUUCAUUAAUCUAAAUUCACUCAUAAAACAAGGUAACACAAAAAACUUUUGGUGAUCCAUAACUUAUUCUUAAGUUAUGGAAUCCUUUAAAACAUUAACACCAAAUUUUGUAACUCCAUAAAAACUUUGAAUCAAUUUUUUUUUAAAACCUUUUCAUAUCCAUAACUUAUGGAGGUUUCAAAAAAUAAAACUCUUUAGAUCAAACUUUUAAAACUAAUAAAAUAAUCAUAUUAUUUUAUCUUUUAUUAAAUUUGACCUAAUUCAACUCAUAAAGCAAAUUAUUCAAAUUUUACAAAUAAUUAGUUUUUCACAAGAACAAGUAAUUAUCUUAAAAUUUGACGAACUUCAUUUUUUUUUUUUUUUUUUUUCAACUUUGAAAAUAAAAUAUUUGCAUCAAUAUAACAGAAAACAACCCUAGGCUCUGAUACCACUGUUGGGUUUUGAGCAUUCUAACACUCCUAUGGUGUACAUGCAACCCUAUAAACCUUGGAUCUAUGUUUUCUCUAUAAUACAUGCAAAUAAGAACUUUCCAAGGCUUUAAUCCUAACUAGCAUAUUAUGAAGUUCUUAUACUACAAAGUACUAGUUAGAUGACAUACCUUUUGAUGUAGCUUGAUGUCUUCAAGCUUUAAGAGCUUAGCCCCAAUAGUGUGGAAGCCUCAAAUGGAAUCACAAAUCACCAAAACACCUUGGAAGACUUUAGAGAAUAUGGAUACUUGGUUCUCUCUAGUGAAAUUGGCUAGCCCUUCUUAGUGUACCACACUAGUGCCAAUUUCACCAACCAAGGACAUCUUUAUAUAGUGUGGAGGAUUAGGGUUAAACCCUAAUACCCAUGACCUUUCAUUUCCUAGGAUCCAUGGGUUAAACACUCCAUGGACUGUCCAUGAAAGCUUAGCCCAACCUAAAUGAACUUGGCCCAUUCCAUAUAUAUAAGAGUCCAUAUUUAAUUAGUUCCUUUUGAUCACUUAAUUAAUUAUAAAUUAAUUCUUGAUCAAUACUAAUUAAAUAAUAUGAUUCCAUAUUAAUAUAUUAGAACUUAUAAUAUAUUAAUAUUAAUCAUAAACGUACUAUUCUCAAAAGAUUAUCCAUAUAAAUUGUGUCGGUGAAGUGCAACCCAAAUGGACCAUGCCGGGUCGGGUCAAGUACAUACCAAAUAUAGUUAUGGACUUAGACAUUAAUCCAACAAGAAUUUCAUUUAAAACCUAAUUCAUUCAAAAUUUUGUUUUCAUGGUGAAAUUGGUAAAUCGUCAUUUACCUACCUUUCUUUAUUUCACAAUUAGAUUACAACAUCCCUUUUCUAUGUUGUGAAAUAUAUAGUUGGAUCCUAGCCUUAAUAUUUCAUUUGGAUGUUAUAUUGAGGAAUCUUCUUAUCUAACUAAAACUUGUUGUUCUCCUUUUCAAAUGUAAGCUCCCAAUGAGGAUUCUGGUUCCUCCUCCAACACCAACUCCUCCAACAACUUCUCACUCUCAAACCUCUGCUUGAGGGUUACCUUUGAUGGCACCAAUUAUAAUGAUUGGAUGUGAAACAUCAAGAUGGCUCCACAUUCCAAGGAUAAAGAGUAUGUGCUCGAAAAGGAACUGCUCGAGGUUGAUGAAACAAAAGCUACUCCUGAAGAACUAGCUGAGUAUAGGAGACACUACAUUGAUGCUAUCAAAGUG